rnacentral:rRNA from 1 species
UCGAGAAUCUUCCGCAAUGGACGAAAGUCUGACGGAGCGACGCCGCGUGAUGGAUGAAGUCCUUAGGGACGUAAACAUCUUUUAUGAGGGAGGAAGUCUAUUGACGUUACCUCAUGAAUAAGGGGCUCCCAAUUCUGUGCCAGCAGGAGCGGUAAUACAGAAGCCUCAAGCGUUACCCGGAUUUAUUGGGCGUAAAGGAUGUGUAGGUGGUGUGAUUAGUCUCGCGUUAAAUCUUCGGGCUUAACCCGAAACUCGCGUGGGAAACGGUCAUACUAGAGGAAGUGAGAGGUGUGUGGAACUCAAGGUGUAGGGGUGAAAUCCGUUGAUAUCUUGGGGAACACCAAAAGCGAAGGCAACACACUGGCACUCUCCUGACACUGAAACAUGAAAGCGUGGGUAG